rnacentral:rRNA from 1 species
UACCAGCACCCCGAGUGGUCGGGACGAUUAUUGGGCCUAAAGCAUCCGUAGCCGGCCUUACAAGUCCUCCGUUAAAUCCAGCUGCUUAACAGAUGGGCUGCGGAGGAUACUAUAAGACUAGGAGGCAGGAGAGGCAAGCGGUACUCAGUGGGUAGGGGUAAAAUCCGUUGAUCCAUUGAAGACCACCAGUGGCGAAGGCGGCUCACUGGUCCGGUUCUGACGCUGAGGCGCGAAAGCGUGGGGAGCAAACAGG